GAAAGUAAAAGUCGUAACAAGGUUUCCGUAGGUGAACCUGCGGAAGGAUCAUUAUUGUAUAACCGAGGUGCGAGGGGUGUCGCUGACCCGAAAGGUCGUGCACGCCCGAGUGCCCUCACACACAUCCAUCUCACCCCUAUGUGCACCACCGCGUGGGUCCCCCUUUGGCUUGUUCGGAGGGGGGCUUACGUUUUCACACAAACUUUGUAUGCAGUGUAGAAUGUAUUUUUUGUUUUUGCGAUCACGCAAUCAAUACAACUUUCAACAACGGAUCUCUUGGCUCUC
rnacentral:misc_RNA from 1 species